rnacentral:tRNA from 1 species
GGUUUUGUAGCUCAGUUGGUAGAGCAAUUGAUUGAAGCUCAAUGUGUCGGCGGUUCAAUUCCGUUCAAAACCACCA